rnacentral:rRNA from 1 species
GACGAACGCUGGCGGCGUGCUUAACACAUGCAAGUCGAACGAUGAACCCGGAGCUUGCUCCGGUGGAUUAGUGGCGAACGGGUGAGUAACACGUGAGUAACCUGCCCUUGACUCUGGGAUAACUGCGGGAAACUGUAGCUAAUACCGGAUACGACCCUCGGCGGCAUCGCCAGGGGGUGGAAAGAAUUUCGGUCAAGGAUGGACUCGCGGCCUAUCAGCUAGUUGGUGAGGUAACGGCUCACCAAGGCGACGACGGGUAGCCGGCCUGAGAGGGUGACCGGGCACACUGGGACUGAGACACGGCCCAGACUCCUACGGGAGGCAGCAGUGGGGAAUAUUGCACAAUGGGCGCAAGCCUGAUGCAGCAACGCCGCGUGAGGGAUGACGGCCUUCGGGUUGUAAACCUCUUUUAGUAGGGAAGAAGCGAAAGUGGCGGUACCUGCAGAAAAAGCACCGGCUAACUACGUGCCAGCAGCCGCGGUAA